CGUGAGGGUUUUAGGGUUUAGAGACUCUACUCCUUAUAACACUAUAUAAACCCCCAACUCUUCUGCCUAUUCACAAAUUGCAUUCUUUCAGUCGUCAAGCUCUCAUCUAGGGUUAGGGUUAGGAUUAGGUUUGGAGUUUGAUUUUUUCUGUGUCUGCACGGCGCACCCCGGGCUUUUCCGAAAAUCUCAUGAAGAAAAAAGCCCCAAUGCGCGUGCUAAAGUGUCAGCCGUUAAGUGUUGCAGUUCAGCCCCAAAUUCUUACGGCUGAUCUGUGUCAAAUCAACUGCGACAUUCUUCAAUCUGUUUGCCUUCCCGGAUAUUUUGUUUUGCUAGAAGAAAUUAAGAGAAAAGAGGAGUAAAUUUGGAAUCUUUAAGAUAACUCUUCCGAUUUUUCUUCCUUUCUUUUUUUUUUUUUUCCCUUAACUACGAAAUUUUCAGAAACCAUAAAGAUGUGAUUUUGGGGUUAUCAUCGGCAGUGAUUACAUAUUAUCCGCGCUUCUGAGAGCUAUCAAUGAAGCAGAAAGAAAAAAGAUUUGGUUGAAUUUCUUGAUAUGAGCCAACUUAAUAUUUCUAGGGCAAAAUAUUUAAAGUAUUUAGAAUUUUUACUCAAAUUGUUGAGUGAUAUAUUUGAUUUAUAUUGGCGAUGAUGAAGAAAGGACAGCGUUAAAUGCCAGUUCUGCUUCAGAAAAUUCUUGAUUGAUAAGCUGUUAUUUACUCUGAGCCUCUCAUUCAGUUCAUAAAAUUUUGUGGAAAUCUAGAAAUAAUUUUCUGUUUGUAAUUUAGAUCUGUUGAGUUUGGCUGGAAUGAUGGUUAUUCUUAUACCUAGAUGAUAACCCACAAAUAAUGUUUUCCUUUUCCAUAAUAUUUAUGUUUUGGGUUUGAUUGUGAGCUUGUUAUAGUUUCAUGAUAGUGAAGAUAUAUCCAUGAUUUGGAGGUGUAGACAGCUCCAAGACUCUGUUUACAGGGAGAACCUACUUGGUUGCUACACUUUUUAUGAAAUUACUGGAUAUUUCUUAGUCAUCUGUAGAACUGUAUGCAUCUUAUUGUGCAGAUAUCCAUAUUUGCAAGCCUUCAUGGUAGAAAAUUAUUAUGUACAUUCUCUUUUUGUUCGUUGUGGGUUGUGUUGUGAGGAUUUGAUUUAAUUAAUGGUUUUGAGGUCGCUAAGUUACCAGUGAUGAUACAAUCCAAUUAAUUGAGACGUGGUGGAGCCAAGACCCUGUUUACAGGGAGAACCUACUUGGUGAAGCCACAUAUCAUAUGACAUCAAUGGAUUCAACUGAGGUGUAUUUAGCCGAUCCAAGUCCCUGUUUUUGUUUUUUUAUUUUUUUAUUUUUUUUAUUUUUUAUAAUGAGACCCUGCUAUGCAAAAUCGAUAUCUCAAUUUGAAUUGUGGGUCUGAGUUUUACUAUACUCUUUGCCAUUACACGGUUGGUAUAGAGUCUGAAAAACUCAGAAAGUGUGUGUUGUCAUCAGCUUCUUCUCUUGUAUGUCAACGAGAUUGGAGUUAAAUAACAGCACUACAUUAAAUCUUGGAUUAAUUUGCUAUACAUUAAUGAUUAAAUAAUAUCAAUCUUCCAUAGUUGACGUUGGUUUGCUUGGCAGGCUUGUUCUACAUUAAACCUUAGAUUGAUUUGCCAGCCAUUAAUGAUUAAAUAAUAGCAAUCUUAAAUGGUUGGUGUUGGUUUUGCUUUCUUGUUGGCAGGCUUGUUCUAACUUCAGCAACUGUCAAUGAGCAUUUGCAGAAGGCAUUUGGACAUUAAUGUGAGAGAACUUGGAGGGUGAAUUCAUGUGGGUUUGUGAUAUUAUUAUCAGGAAAGAGCUUUGAUUAUUAUUAGCAACCGUGUGUAUGAUUAAUAAUCAAUCUUUCAAAUUGUAUACAUUGUUUUAUUUAAUAAAGGAUUAAUUUGGGUUGGUUUCAUGGCGUGCACUUUCCUGUACUGCAGUGGUGGUACUCACUCCAAUAUUUGUCUAGAGUAGGCUUUGUAAGUAGCCAAUUUUCCCACUUAACCAUUUUGAUAUGGGAUUACUGUUGAGCGGUUUCCUUGCCCAAAACUUAAGGUUCAUGCUCGCUUGAAUUACAUGACACAUUCUGGCAAAGCAUAUCCAGAUUGUAACAGCCACUCGGUUGCCAACAUUGCCAGGCAAGAGUUUCUGCUGACAUGGUUGAAUAGUUCAGCAUUUGGGCUUCUUGGUUCAGAUGUCUGUCAGCCUCUCAAAAUUAGAAUUUGACCUCAGUGUACUCUGCUUCAAGCUUUGCAAAAGUUGAUGACUUGUUCUCUAGCAAUCUAGCCGGGGUGUCAUAUUCCUCACUAAGCCCUGCACCAACAUUUCCAUGAAAAAAGAAUCAAGAAAAUGGAUUGGAAAGAUUUACAACUUUUGAGAGAAUAACAUGCGGGUGGCCGAAUCUAUUGUGCCAAAUAUCAAAAUUAGAAGUUGCAGCCAGGUGUAGCAUCAGAGAAGAUGAAAUCUGAUUCUUUUCAAGAAAUUUCCUUGGAUAGAGUUUGCAAAGGUGAUAUUCAACUAGACUAUAGAGCAUAAUUUUCUUUGAAUCUAGGUUCUUAACAAGGAAACAAGAAAGGAAAAACUUAAUUGAGCCUGAAUUAUCAAAACACAACCUAUGAACACUAAAAAGAUUUGAAGAAAUAUGAGGUACUUGAAGAACAAAAUGAAGUAAUAAAGGACUAAUGAUUUUAGAUGAAGAGUGGCAUGUGAGUCUAACGACCAAGAAGAAUCACUGGUGGUAACAAGAGGAAAAAAAAGUUUGCAUUGACCAUGGUUUUAAAAAUUAGACUUCAGUCCGAUCAAUUGGCCUGAAAAUAGGUUGAGCCGGUGGUCCGAUCGGUGAAUCGAAUGAAUCGGUCAGUUUCUUUCAAAUCGGACAGUUCGAUUAUUAUUAUUAUUAUUAUUAUUAUUAUUAUUAUUAUAAUUUAUAGUAUCAAAACGACGCUGUUUUGGAGGAUAUAAAUCACCUUCCAAACCUUUCCUCUUGCAGUUCGAACCAUAGAAGCUGUUGUCCCCAAUGCGCCGCAAUACCCACGUUGGGACAACUCCCAUCGGCAACCUGGAAGCCUUGCAAAACCUCCCCUCCAUCGAUCGUUACAAUGUCGCAUCUUCUCCUUGUGCCGUUGCAAGCGUCUCUCGUCGCCGUAAACUCCCCACCCCCCUGUGUUGUAAACCCCCACCCAACCCACUUCGACCAGUAGCUGCAAGCCUCCCCUCGACCGACUAUAAACCCCUCACCCCUCGGUUGCAAACCCACCCCACUUGACCCACUCUAAGCAAUCGCUGCAAGCCUGCAAAGGUUUGAUAUUUUCAAAAUUAUUUUUUAUGUUUAAAAUAAUAAUAUAUAUUUAUGAGGUCAUCGGUUCGACUGCGGUUCAAUUGCCGAUCUGACCAGUGAACAGUGAAUCGGUAACUUUUCCGAUUUUGAAAACAUUGGCAUUGACUGUUGGUUUGAGGACUGUAGAUGUAAUAUGUGAGAUGUCUUUUAAUUUACCACAUACUUGUUACUAGGAAAUUGAGGAAAAUUCCUUUGAAACUUCUUGUUCCAUAAAGAUUGAUUGAUACAAAAGUACUUUCUUAAUUCUUGUUCAACUUUAAAUUGUGAAACUAUAAAUUGAGAUUAAAAGGAUUUUGAAUUCGAAAUUGUUGCAUUUUUCUAAAAACCAAGAUUCUAAGGGUGAUUUUCCUUGGUAUCAUUAUGAAAAUUAUAUUGAAAAUCUUGGAAACCAUUUUGAAACCAAGUUUGUUUUACUUCUUUGUUGAUAGGAAGCAAAUUUGCUUAUAUUAUGAGAACUCAUUUUGCUUUCAAAGUAAGAAGCAAAGUAUGAAUCUCUUAAAGAUUUAUUGGUUUCUUAUGUGAUCAAGUACUAAGAAUAAAAAAUGAAUUGCACUUUGAGUGCAGAAAACCAAGCAGAUAGAGAAUAUGAUCUCUAAUUGAGAUUUUUUCUUUAGUUGCCCUCAAAUUGUAGCAGAGGUAAAAUAAAUUCUCUCAUACAUGGUUAUCAUUUACGAUACUUGAAAAGAAAAAUGAACCAAAGAGAAAUGAAGCUUCACAUAACUUUAUUUCUACUUACAAGAGUGUUUCUAUUUCUAUUUAGAGGAAAACUCUACGGUGCCUCCGAAGGUAUCAUGCCUUCGUUUUAUUUCAGUCAUUGGAUAGAAAAAAUUUCAUCUCAGCCAUCCAAAUUAAAAGUUAACAAAAAAAAAAAAUCCCCCCUGAAAUCGGGUACCUCCCCUUCCUGUUCUUUUCCAAUUUUCCCAUCUUUCCCCCUAAUUUGCUCUUUUCUCCAUACUCAUCCUCCGCAACCGGCCGGGUACUUGUUUUCUCCCAUUUUUUCUCGACUUUUCCCCUAAUUUUCCUCUUUUCUCCAUACUCAUCCCCCACUUAUCUCCACAUCUAUGUUUUUCGAUUGAUUUGUGCAUUUCGGCUCUUCUCCGGGUACCUAUGUUUUCCGUUUUUCUCCAUCGGUUUUUAUUUUCGAGUGUUUUCGGUUGUCUUCGUGUGUUGUUGGGUGUUUUCGGGUGAGAUAUUCUAGCUAUUUCGGGUGCUAAAUUUUUGAUGUAGGAGUGACAUUUUUCAAACUUCUCUAUUUUCUCCAUUUCCCCUGUGUUUAUGUGCAUAUUUCAUUUUCAUAUUUGGGGUUUUUUCGGGUUUUCAAGUAAAGAGUGCGAUAUUCCCGCUCCCCACUUUCUUCUCCAUAUCCCUGAUUUUCUUCAUAUUUCAUAUUUGGUUUAAGAGUUGUAAGGGAGUGUUUUCGGGUUUUAAACUUUCUGGUUUGAAGACCCGAAUUGAAGAUGUAGUUGGAAGAAGAAGAAGACGACGACGUAAAGUACGAAGAAAAAGAAAGUUGAAAAGGACAUAAUUUAUUGUGAAUAAAAAAGCGGUUGUAUUGUAAUUAUUUGCGGAUUCUAUAUUAAAAAAAAUGUGAGUAUUGAUAAUGUGUUUUACAAGAUUGUAUCCAUUAUAUUUCAUGUUUUUUAUUAGAUUUAUGGAUUGAUCACAUUAAUGAAAAAUAAUGUGAUUAGAUCCAUAACUGAACAUUAAAAAUAAUUUAUAUGCUAAUUUUGUUACUAGUGAAAAUUUAGAGAGAUUUAAGGAGGAUUUUGGAGUGGUAAUGAUAUUUGUAUUUUAUUUGACAUUUGAUUUAUUGUAGUAAGAUAUGAAUAUAAAAUUUAUUGAAAUGUGAAAAAAAAACUUACGUUGAGAUAAUGUGGUGGUGGAAGUAUAUUUGAUUUAUUAUAUCUGUAUUAUAAAAAUUGACUUAAAUGAUUUGAUUUAAUUUUUAGGAGCGAGUGCGAUGCUGUUGAAGUUGUUAGAAAUCAAAAUAGACCUAUCGGAACUUGGAUACAUUACUAGUAAGGGAAAAUAGAAAUACGUAAAAGAAUAUGUUUUAUUUAUUUAUUUAUUUGUGGUUGUUAUAGUUAUAUUUGUUUGAAAUUAUUUUGUAGUAACGAUCAAUUGGCCAUGAUCAAAGAAAAUGAUAGAAGAGUGAAGAUAAAUGAUGAUGUAAGGAGUAAUAUUGUUGUGGUUAAUAUAAUUAAAUUUUAAAUUUUGAAUUUGAAAUAAGUGACAACUUAGUUCAAUUGAGGAAAAAAUUGAGCAAGAAGUGGAAUGCACUUUCAAAAGUAGAAAAAGAAGAUUUCAUGAUAAAGUCAAAAGAAAGUUCAAAACAAUAUUCGCUUCAAAAGGGUGUGGGUCCAAAGGUAAAUUUUUUGUAAUGAAUAAAAAAUUUCAUUACUUAUAUAUUUGUUGCAAAUUAUAUUUAUGUAAACAUGUUUGAUGCUCCCACGAGCGAGUAAUUAGAGUUAUUGAAGAAUUAGAACUAAAGCAAAAAACAGCCAUAGAAGAAAUAGGAUUUGGUAGCCUCUUGCAAUUUCGAUAUAGGAAAAUUAAUCAUGGGUUAUGUCUUUGGUUGAUAAAUAGUUUCAAUCCGAACACCUGUAUGUUAGAGUUGUAUAAUACUUGUAUCAAAUUAUCCUCGAUUGAUGUUGAAUUUAUUAUAGGAUUAAGGGCAAGAGGGUUGAAGAUUGACAUGAACAAAGAUGUUAGCAAUAAGAAUGAUUUAUGUAAAAAAUAUUGUCAUAAAAAAGGGCGAUUGCCAUUAGUGAUGUUAGAAAAUCAAAUUAGGGAGGAUAAAGAAGGUGGAAAUGAUUUCAAGUUCAUUUUGUAUUAUUUGUGUUGAGUGCAUUAUUGUGCCCAACAAUGAAGUUUUUGUGAAAUGUUUUUUCUUAUAUCUUAUGGAAGAUAUCGAUUCAAUAAAGAAGAUGAAUUGGGAUGAAUUUGUUUUGUCUUAUCUUGUGCACGGGAUCAAAGAGUUUAAAAGGAAACAACAAAAUGGAGUUUCCAGUUGCUUAUUGUUUUUUAUGGUAAUGUCCUUAUACAUAAUUUACAUCAUAGUGAAUUUCGAAUUUGUUAUAAUAAAUUUUGUGAACUAACUAUAUAUCUAUGUAAAAUAUAAUUGCAGUUAUUCUACCACAAGCAUAUAUCGUUCCAACAGAAAUUUCCACCAUUAUAUACUCAACUUUUUCCUCGGAUUACUGCUUGGGGAGAUGAUGAAGUACUGGAUAUAAAAUGAAGAUUGAAAAAACUCGGUGGAUAUGCAAAUGACAAUGUAAGUUAUAGUUUCGAAAUUUGUUUAAUAUUUGUUUUUAUUUUUAGUGAUUUUAAAUAGGAUAUGUGUGAUAUAUUGAUGAAUAUAUUGUAAGUGAAAAUAUGGGUGAUACAAAAUGAGAUAAGAGAUUGCGUUGAUGAAAAUGAGAUGACAAUGGAAGAGGAGAAUGAGGAGGAUGAGAAAUUUGAAAUCCAUCCAAACAAAGAUGUUAUUAAACGAGUAAGUGUUACAAUACUCAUCGUGAGUAUAAAUAUUAGUAGUGAACCCUUGUAUUAUGAUGUUAUUAAUCAAGUUCCUAUAUAUCACUAGGUUGAUGGUGGGAGCUUAAUGGAGAUGGAUAAAACAUUUUAACAAUUAAAGACACAUGUAAUUGAUUAGUGUCAUGUCGCAAGUAGUAGUAGCUGUGAAUUUUUUUUUUACUGAAUUUGAAGAGAAAUAUACAACAUUGAAAGAACUCUUCCUUGAGUUAAGAGAAAAACCUUUGAGAGAGCACGAUGAGGGAACAAAGAGUGAAAUUCUUUCAUGCGAGAAAAGUGUGGAAGAGAAGGACAAUAAAAAAGGAAAUGAACAUUAUGUUGACACUUUGUCAAUUGACAAAUUAUGCACUAAGGACAUGAAUGAAAAAAAUGAAGAUGUGUGUGCUACAUCAAUUGAAAUGCUUAUCAUUCCCGAUGAAAAUGUAGAUAUUUUACCACUUCUAAUCAAAAGAGCUAGAAAAGAUUAUGGAAAGGUAUAUAUAAUAUAAAAAAAUUAUUUUUGUUACAACUACUUAACCAUUACAUAGUAAAUAUAUGUAUAUUAAUGACAUUUUCCAUAUUAGGAACCAUUACCAGCACUAUAUGGUAUUCCUGAGAAUGUCAUGAAAACACGUACAUUGAGGGAGAGGAAACCAAGUAAAUUCAAGGUCUCCCCAUUCGUACACAAUUUAAGGAAGAUGAGAAAACGUUAAGUAUCAAAUGUAUAAUACAAAUAGUUUAAUACCAUGUUCUUAUUUUUGAUACACAAAAUAUGUAGCUAAUAAUUAUGUCUUGUUUUCGAUUUAGUCAAUCCCCAUGUCCAUUCGUGAAGACGUGGUGGAUGCUCAAUCAUUCAAUGUACUUCAAUCUCUUGUUGCUGAUUAUGUUUUCAAUAAAUCAUUGUCAACAAGGUUUGUAGUAUCUAGAAUAUUCAUAGAUGCGUUGUUACAAUUUUAGCCUUCAUAUUUUCCUAUGUGUGUAAAAAAUGUUUUAUCAUAUUAUUGUUGUAGUGAGCUUCUUGUUGACUUCGAUCAUGAACAUUGAGUACAUGGAGAUUUAGAGUACUUACAUCCCAGGCAAAAUUUGUUGGAUGUUGUAAGUAGAUAUUUGAUUUAUAUCAAAUGAGUUCUUUAUUAAUGAAAUAAAUUUAUUAAAGUUAUUGGUUAACAACAGGUAAUAAAUCUAGAAGCAUCAAAGCUAAAUUAUUUUGAGAGGCAAUUCAUAAGCAUACGAGUAUAAGAUGCUAUCUUCCCAAGACAUUUUCAGUAAGCUCACAUUUGUCUUGUUGUUUAGUUACAUAUUAAGUAUAAUAUACUAAUAUUAUUCAUAUUAUGUUGUAUUAUUAGCAAAUGAUUUUGUGCAGGAGUCUUCAACCUUUUUUUUAUAGAAAAACAUCCAUCGUGAGUAAGUAUAUUAAUGAAUUGGAUGAUUGCGAGAAGGUUAGUAAUUAUUUUUAAUGUUUAAUUGCAUAUAUCAAAGUUUGAGUGUAUAUUGUUUUCACCUACAAUAGAGUAGAUAUUUUGUGCACUAAUCCAUUGAUAUUGUUUUUCUAACUUUAUAACUAUUUAUUUCAAUGCAUGAAAAUUGCCCCGGUCAUUGGUAUCUUUGCGUCAUUGACUUUAAAAACUCUCAUAUCCAAAUUUUGGAUUCAUUGUGAUCAAGGAGUCGGGAUGAGUUUUGAUUUAAGAGUGUCAAAACAGUGGUAUGCUUUCAACUAUUUUUUUCUCCAUCUUACAAUUAUUAACACUUUCAAAAUAAAUUAGGUUGAAUUUUGUCAAACGUUCUACAAACUCUUUGACAUAGGGAAAAAUGUCUUCCAAUUCUCCAUUGAUUAGGCUCCUUCGAUUCCAACCCAAGAUAAUGGGUUAGUAUGAAUAUAUAACUCACAUGAAUAUUAUUUAUCUGAGCUAUAAUUAUACAUCCAUUUAUAAGUUGUUUUGCUUUUCUUAUAUUUUUCUUUGGUGGGACUGUGGAGUGCAUGUCAUUAAACAUAUGCAGACAUUCUAAAAUGGUGAUUGCAUGAAGGCCUCUAACUUAUGUAAUUUUUUAAAAAUACUGUGAAACCAAGGUUUGGUUAAUCUUGAUUUUGAUGAUAACAAAACAAGGUUUAAAACUGAUGAUCAUAUUUCAAGUGUGAUUAGGUAAGACGAUUUCCAAAGUGGCAAUCAUAAAGACAAAUCAAUCCAAGGAGAAAUCAUGAAGAAGAAAACCACCUCAAAGAUAAGAGUUUUUCAAGACCAAAGCUUCAUAAAAUCUCUUUGUAAGGCUAUUGGUGCACUAGGACUUUCAAGCAUUUCAUUCUUUAUUUAUGCACCAAAAUCAUCCAAGAGUAAUAUUGUUUUAAAUAUCUUAAGAAUUGGAUGAUUUCAUGUUUUCAACUAAAACCUUGUGUUAAAUGAUUUUCAAACUUGUGUUAAAAGGUUUUAAGUUGAAAAAGAUUGGGUGUUGAGCCAAAAAAUGGCUCAACCUGUCGACCGGUUGUGCUCGUCCAGUUGAGGACCGCUUGAGGGAGGCCAAAAAGUUUCUCUCUCUCCCAGUGACCUUCUCUUCCCAGUCAAGGUUGAACCUCAACUGGUUGAGGUCCGGUCGAGGUCCGGUUGAGACCCAACGGUCACUUGCCAAGCAUUAAAUGCUAACGGCUAGUCAACCGGUCGACCCCUAGCUCGACCGGUCGAACCCCCAACGACUAGUUUGACUUUUUUCUUCUAUAAAAAAGCUUCAAUAUUCAUUGUUUCAUAAGCUUAACCUUCCCAAAUCUUUCUUGAUUAUAUUUGAGCCUUGGAAGAGUAUUUUUGAGUGCACUAUUAUUUCAAAACUUGCAUAUUCUUAGUGCACCAUUCAAUCCUAGUUUUUCUUGUAUAAAUUAACCUUAAAGUUCUUGUGCUAGGAUUUUUGUAAUAUCUUUUAAUUGUAAACCCUUGAGAGUAAGUUGUUCAAGAGAGGGAUAUCUCUUGAGAAGUGUAAAGGGUGCUUGGAGCCAAAAGUCCGAUAGGGUGAAUUGGAACCAUAAUCCAAUUGUAUUGCUUGAAGGCUUGGGUUGGAAGCCUUGGAUUAAUGAAACCUCAAGCUCGGGAUUGAAGUUAGAGGAGAGUGGAUGUAGGCCGGGUUGCGUCGAACCACUAUAAACUCUUGAGUUUGCAUUCUCUCUUCCCUACUCCUUAAUUUAUAUGCAAUUGUCUAUAUAUUGCUUAUUAUAUACUUGCAUAUAAUUGUCUCUUGCAUUCACUUGUUUAAAUUUGCGAAAAGAGACCAUCACCCUAUUCACCCCCCCUUUAGGGUGAUUACCAUAGGUUGGAUUAGCCUCAAAUUCCUAACAAAUACGUUGGGAAAUAGCAAGUGAUUUAGUUUUACACGAGGGAAACAGAGAAAAACAAACCAUUUUGGCUAUUGUUUGUACAAAUACAUCCACAAGAGCAAUGAGAAGAUUAUUAUUAUGACAUUUGUUGUUUUUCCAAUAUUUAUCAUUUCCAUAUCCACAUAUGGUCAUGUUCAUGGGAAGUUCUGACAUUGGAUGAGCAUACAGGGUUGAUGAUUAGUUCGUUUUAUUUGAAUAUGCUAUACUUUUCUUUGAAUAUGCUAGGCAUAAUGAAAUUGUAAUAUAUAGCAUCAUUCAUUUUCUACAUGUAUGAUUUUCUACGUUUGUUAGGUAUUUAGAUGUUUUUUUCUCCCUCUAUACUUUGGGUUGCUUUUUCAAAUAUAUAUAUAUAUAUAUAUAUAUAUAUAUAUAUAUAUAUAUAUAUAUAUAUAUAUUCAUUUAUAUAUGCAAAAAAAUAUAGUAUAAGAGCUUUUCAUUCAAAGGGUAUAUAGUGAGUACCGGUGGGAAGAUAGGUUAGCCGAUUCAUAUUUAGUGGUCAACUUGUGUGAAUUAUAUCGAGGAAUUGUAAAGGUAGUGUGUAUUGGUUCCAUUAUAAUUUUAGCCUAUAUGUACUGGUCGAUUGGUUCCAAUUAUUUCACAUGCAAGUAUUGGAUGCAGUGUCUAUCAAUUGAAGAUUUCACACGAUCGACAGAACCCAUUUCUCAACCGGUUGAGAAACUAUUAGAUGUAGUGUCUACCGACUGAGGAGUUCAAACAAUUGACAGAGGCCAUUUCUUAACCAGUUGAUAAACUAUUGGAUGCAGUGUUUACCGGCUGAGGAAUUCACACGACUAGCAGAGACCAUUUCUCAACUGGUUGAUGCCAAUUCACCAGUUGAGUUGUUCAAUGCAAUCAUGCAAUUUCUUCCAGUGGCUACCGAUUAAGAAAUAACUAUAAUCGGUAGAGGAAAAUUUUCAACCAAUUAACAUUGGUGAUUAAGCCAUUAAGUACAUUUUUGAGGAUGAGAAAUGAUGGAAACUAUAAUUCCAAAUUACCAAAUUAUGAUUUACUCAAAUUGACAUAUAUCAUUACAUUUACCAAUUUCAUAUGAAUUAAAUCGAAUCAAUUACUUUCCUACAGGUAAUUCAUAACAUUAAAACACUAUACCUAAUUUUUGAAUCAUCAUUAUAAGUAAUUGAUUACAUUAAAAAGUGCUAGUAUGCUUCCACAUUGGUAUAAAUCAAUUAAUUUAUGGUUUCAAUGAAAUUAAUUUAAAGUAAGAGAAUAUUGAAUUACAAUUAAAAAAAUAAAUUAACACCAAUACCAAAUUAAUUACAUUGAAACUCCAAACCUAUACUCCUACAAUGAUAUAAAUCAAUCACUUUGUCAUUGCAAUGAAAUUAAUUGAAAGUAAGAGAAUAUUGAAUUACAUUUCAAUUUCCGACUUAACACCAAUACCAAAUGAAUUACAUUUAAAUAUUGAUACUAUACUUCUACAUUGAUAUGAAUAAAUCAAUUUACCACUUUCAAUCACAAGUUUUUUCUUUGAAUCCCAAAAUUAUGCAAUACUUUAUUUAAGAUUACAUAUUCACCAAAGUGAAAAUAUCAAGGAGCAUAAGUACUCAUUUGUAUCAACUAUAGCUCACUGCAUUAAGGAAUACCAAUACCUAAACUUAGCCUAUGUGUUUGUUUAGAAGAAUUUUCACUAGUUGUUUUUUGAGCCGACUGGUGAGGAUAGGAUUGUGGCCAUCUAUGGUUCAUUCCAUUUUCCUUUUCAUUUAAUAUCCAUUUACCAUAUGCAUUUAAAAUCUACUUUUAAAUUAUAGUAUGCACAUCAACUGCCAACGUGUACUGGUGGAGAAUUAGUUGAACAUGUACCACUAGAGAGGUGGCUCGGAUUAUUUAUGGGGUCCAAAGUCAAAGGCAAACAAUACCUAUCUAGCUUGAGGGGAUCUAAUUCCAUUGUACAUAUCUAUCGGUAGUGCUUGGAUGACCCCUAAAUGUUGUAGUGUGAACCGGUUGAUUCAUCGAACUCAACCAAUUAUGUAGCGAUCAACCGAAAUAAAGUCAAUCUCAUGGGCAUAAAACUUGUAGUGCCUAGUGGUUGAGAAAUUUAGUCUACUAGUUGAGAAAUUUCCUCAGCAGGUAGGACUCUAUUGGUUCUACAGUAAUGUACAUAUCAAAUUUGGGGGAAAUAAAUGGAAAGCAUGAGGCCAAAUUAUGAAGUUUUCCAUUUAGUGGUAUAGUUUGAACUUCACAUAAUUGUAAAACUUUAACCACAUUUUCCUUUAAUUAUAUUCGCAUGCAUAACUAUAUUUUGAAAAUGAUAUAAAUGAAUCGAUUUCUCGUUUGAUCAAUCAUUUUACCACUUGUAAUCAAUUAAAUUAUAAAACUAGAGGAUAGUGAUUUCUAUCAAUCAACUUGACUAUAGUUCCAAAUUCAUACUUAUAAUUAAAUACUUGGUUUAAAAGUACAUAUUACCCAAAGUCUUAACGUCAAAUGAUAGAAUUACUGAUUUAAUAACUUCCAUCUUUUACUCCAUUAAGGAAUAAAAAAAAGGCUACAUAUCAUUUUCAUUGGGAGUAUCGUUUGGAUACCCACCUUCACAUGGUGUUGUAAUAGUUUCUUCAUAUUGCUGAAAUCCUGGUACCUACACAUGGACAUUCCAUGGUUAAAAUUGACCCGUCUAAUUCCAUUGCAAUUACUUCAAAAAAAUCAUUCAGUAAUCCAUAGUUAAAAUUAAUGUUUGAAAUGUGUUUGUUUGUCGAAGUUACAUUGACAAGUGCGCCGAAAUCUAUAUACAUGUUAAAUGGGUCAUUCCACAAAUGCUCCGCUCGCAUUCCCUGCAUUUUCAAAGAUUAAGUGAUGUCAAUUACUGUUGAAUUAGAUGUUAUCAAAGUUUAUGUUGUUAUAUAACAAGCCUAUUGUACAUGAUGUAAGGUUGCAAACAUGUCAACUGAACAAUUUGAUAAAGGCAUCAAUUCCAUUUCAAUGUCACAUUGGGAAGACAAUUACUUUCCUGCACCAUACUCAUAAUGUAAUGAAAACAAUUAUGUUAGUUAUAUAUGUAAGUACAACUAAAAUGCAUAAGUUUUGUGGCAAAUGUUUAUUGAAUCUUACAUACCAUAUCACGCUGAUUACCAGUAUGAGGGAUUGUAGCUUUUGGACACUUUUGAAUUGUGUGACCUACUAUUUUACAACGACUACACCGUCUUCCAUUUUGAAAUUUUGAUGCAACUUUGUCUGGAUUUCCUUUAGUGUUCACUAUAUUUGGAUCACGAACUUGGUGAGGACUUGUGGCUCCAUCUGCUGCUAAUUUUUUCAAUUUCAAAUUAUUCUUAUAGAGUUCCUCCAUUCUCACCCUUAAAUUUUCUAUUUCAUUAUUCACUUCUAGAAAUAAAGAUGAUGUAUGUGAUGCAUAGUAAGAGAGCUUGUUGCACAUUGAACUCAAUGAAGCAUAUCGUACAAUCCAAUCCAUGUCGUUAUCCGUCUCAUUCACCGGUGGUGAUCUUGGAUGCACCUUUGCUAACUUUGUCCACCUCUUCAAAAUACAUGAAAGAAGAAUCUCUUCCAAAUGCUCUACCUUCAUAACAACAACCAUGUGACAACAAGGGAUGCCAAUUGACUCAAACAUCAUGCAUGAGCAUUUUAAUGUUACAAUAUUCAACCAAAAUUGGACUUCCUAUUUAAAGUUCGGGUGUUUAAACUUAGAUAAUGUGUAUGCCCACAUUAAAUCAUCACUUACAAGCUCUACUACAAAGAAUAACUCUACAUUCUUCAUUUUCUCACGAAAUUUAAGGAAGGUUUCCUUCGUGUAUAUAGUUGCAACAUGAUUUUCAAGUAUGGAUAGUUUGGUUGAAAGAACGAGUGAAGAAUUGUUCGACUCAAACUCUGUCUUUGCCUUAUUUUUUUGAAUUCUCAUUAUCGCCCUAUCGAAUUGUUAUACAAACUCAUAUCAUUGCAAACGAAUUUUCAAGAAUCUAUUUAGAUAUGCAUUCGUACUUUCACACCUUUGUGUGCUUCUCAUCUCUCUAAACAAAUUUCCCUGUAAAUACUCCUCAACCCAUCUUUUGCGUUUCGCAUAAAUCUCGGUGACCCAACGAUUCCCAUUAAGAUCCAACUUUUCAACUAUUUCAUGUCAAGCCUUUUUGAAUUCUUCCGGAUUCUCUCGUAUGAACAUGCACCUUACAAAGAUGCUUGUAAAAUCCUUAAUAUACACCUUCGUGAAUGCAUUUCGUUGCAGAUGCCAUGAACACAUGCGAUGACACGCAUCGGGAAUGACUUUUUUUAAUUGCCUUACACAUUGCUUUAUCCCCAUCAAUUGCUAUAGAUAUGAGUUUCUUAUUCAUCAUUGCAAUAAGAAAUGUUUCCAACACCCAUUCAUAUGUAGCAAUACUUUCAUCCAUCAAUAGCGCACAACCAAAUACCAUUGUUUGGUGGUGAUGAUUAACACCAACCAACACGACUAAGGGUUUUUUUUAUUGGCAUUUGUCCUAUAGGUUGUAUCAAAUGCUAGCACAUCUCCAAAACACACAUAAUUCAUUUGAGUAGUUGAAUUAACCUAAAACAAGUUUUCUAGUUGACUUUUUUCAUCGACUUUGAAUUUAUAAAAAAUUGAAGAAUCCAUUUCUAACUUUCCACACAAGUAAGCCAAAACGACUUCUACAUUAUCAUCUUUAAUUUUAAUUCUACACAUUGCAUCAAUGUGAUUGUAUAUAUAUUUUUGUGUGAAACCAUCAUGCUGAUGUCCUUCUGAUUGUUUAACCUUAUAGUCCAUAAUUUGUGUUGUUUUAACACCAACUUUACAUAGAACAUCAACUUAUGCCUCAUCUGGAUUACUUACUGUCCGAUGAGAUUGAAAGAAUUGUGUGUUGAUAGCAUCGACCAAAUGAUGAUUAUGUUCUCCUCUAAAUUCCUUUACAAUCUACUUUCCAACUUUUCUAUCCAAUCUAAUACGAAAUGCAGCUUCACAUCCAACUCUAGUCAACGAUCAUGGCUCACACUGUCGAUUGUCAAUUUGAAUAAACUUUGUCACUUGAUGUCUUUCUUUGGAACACACCCACUUUCGAGAUAUUAUAUAUCCAUUCUUGUCUCGUUUCAAAUCAUCUUUUUGAAUACUAAAUCUGGUAACUUUGAAAAACAAGUUGUAAAAUGUUUCAACCUCAUCUAUGCAAUUGAAUUGCAAUUUUUAGAAUUCUUCAAUCGAAAUACCCUUCAACACCUUCUCUUUCAAAAAAUUUGCAUCAUAGUGGUAACUCCCGCUAGUAUAUGUAUUAUCAUGGACCAUAUCAUCAAGUUUCACUUCAAAUUCCUGCUUGAUUGUUUUCUCCAUCGCCGAUUGCAACACCUACAUUUUAGAAAACAUGUUAAAAAUCGUUGGAAUAAGACCUUAAUGAAGGAUCAUAUCACUUUUAUAUAAAUCAAUUACAUAAUUCCAGUCAACCUAUAAUGCAUACGUCAUCCAUUUUUGAGGUUGUCAGUACCGGUUGUCAUGGUCAAUUCGACCGGUUUCAAACUGGUCGACCUAUUGGUGUUUAUAUUGAAACUGCUUUUACUUUGCAGUGUUUAUUGGCUAAAGGAAAAAGUCAACCAGUUGAGAAAAAAUUCAACCGGUAUACACUAGACACAUGAGUCUUUCCCCCAUUAAUUUGAAAUAAAAAAUGUCAACUGAUGAAUACUACUAAGAAUGUGUUAUAGACAAUGAUAACCUUCAUUUUUUUAAACAAUAUAUAUAUAUAUAUAUAUAUAUAUAUAUAUAUAUAUAUAUAUAUAUAUAAUUUUAAAAUUACAAAUAGGUUUGGGAAAUAUUUUCCCCAUCCAUUUGAAGGUUAGGGGUAGUUACAUUGAAAAAACUAUUAUGGUUUUGUUUAACAAAUCAUUAUUGAGUUAAGGAUGAUACCUUGACAAUGGAAAGUGCAAGUGUGAUGCAACUUCAACUGAAGAAUUGUCUUCUGGAUGUUUUUUUGUAUGCAAGGCUCCAAUAAAGAGAAGACCUCGUUCACUCUCCAGCUCUCUUAGAAAAUGUUGCUUUCCAAAUAACUACUAACAUAUCUAGGUGGUUGGUUGUUGAAGUAAUUACAUAUUUGAAUAGGUUGCCACAUGUAGAAAAACAACUUGUACAAUGGUACACUUGGUGGUUGAAAGUUACCAUUUUUGCUUCAUUUUAUUAGGUGACAUUAAAUAGAACAAUAAUAGGUAGGAGAGAAAGUCAGCCUAAUGUGGAUGAUUACACAUUUAAAAUGGAUCUAUGUAUAACUUUACAAAAUAUAAAGUGGAGAUAUGGACUUGAUUUAUAAUAUUUACAUUUCUCAAUGGAGUUUACCUUAAUUAGUUUAAUUAAGUUGUCAUACUAUAUCCUACAUAUGAGAAAGGUUAGUUAAUUAACCUGAAUUAAUUUAUAUAAGCUAUCGUACUAUAUCCUAGUUAUUAAAAAUUUAAUCAAUUAACCUUAAUUAAUUUAAUUCACGUAUGAUGUUAUAUCCUAAUUAUGAGAAAUAUUUUUCAAUUAACCUGAAUUAAUUUAAAGGCCGCUAUCGUACUAUAUGCUAGUUAUUCUAAAUUUUAAUCUCUUUCAUUUUGGCUAAUUUAAUUAAGACAUCAUCCUAUAUCCUACUUAUGAGAAAUGUUAGUUAAUUAACCUGAAUUAAUUUAUAUAAGCUAUCGUAUUAUAUCCUAGUUAUUACAAAUUUUAAUCAAUUAACCUUAAUUAAUUUAAUUCACAUAUGAUGUUAUAUCCUACUUAUGAGAAAUGUUUUUCAAAUAACCUGAAUUAAUUUAAUAAUGUUGUCAUACUAUAUCCUAGUUAUUAUAAAUUUUAAUAUAAACACCUUAAUUAAUUUAAUGAAGUUGUCAUAGUAUAUGGUAAUUAUUAUAAGAACAAAAUAAUUACCCUGAAUUAAUUAAGUGAAGGUAUCAUACUAUCCUACUUAUUACAAAUAUCAGUCAAUUACCCUGAAUUAAUUUAAUUAAGUUAUCAUACUAUAUUCUACUUAUUAUAAAUUUUAUUUAAUUAACCUCAAUUAAUUUAAUUAAUCUAGAUCCAAAUAUUUUUUCAUAUAAUCAUUGACAAAUUAAAUGAGAAGUAUGAGAAAUUUGAAAUUAAUAAAAUAGAAAAAAAAUAAUGUUUCAUCUAUAUAGGACAUUAAUUUAAUUAAAAUGUCCCAGUCUUAAACUAUAUGCAUUUUCAUUUAAUAGCAAGGUCGACCAAUCUAGGAAACCCACUUAUAAUCCUCAACCCUUCCCUCUUCUCUUCCCUUGAACUUCAUCUUCCCGAAAUACCUUAACCCGAAAUCAACUUACCAUGGCACCAAAACGAGCACCGGCAGAAGCAAGCUUUCCCCAGGAGGACUUUUAUGCUGAGUCAAAUGACUCUACAACAAACUACCUUCAAGAUAAUGAAGAUGAUUGUGAGGGUAUUUUCCCUCCAAUAAGGAAAUCAAAAUAAGAUUCCUUUCAGUCAUAUGACAUCAUCAAGCUCUCUCCAUUCAAGCUUCUCAUGAUGCUCCACAAAUAAGAAUAUUCUUCAGAUAAGUAGUUUCAACACUGAAAGCAUCAAGCAUGUGACUCUACAGUCCAAAGCAGCCUGUCAAUCAUCAUCACUCAGCCGAAAGUAAGAUUCUCGGUGAAAAAGUCUAAAGUGCUACAGUAGAAAGUGACUUUUACUGUUCACUUUUACUAUUCACUAUUCACUCAUGAGAUUACUAUUCAUGCACGGGUUUCAAAAGCAAACAGUGCUCUAUUUCCUGAUUGGUACUGUUUAAUAUUCCAUUUUUAGCUAUUUAAGGAGGCUCGAUCCUCAUCUGUAAGCACGUCUUCUUUUACGCCUCAUUUUAACUUCUCAUUUUUCAUUUCUCUCUCUCUCUUUCUCUUCUUUCUCUACCUCUCACCAUGUAAGCUCCCGAGCAAAAAGCUUUCUUCAAAGCUUUCCUCAUUUCUCCCAUUGUAAGGUAUUCAACUUCUCCUUAUUAUAAGUAUUUUUUGUGUUUGUUUUCAAGUUAUGUAAAUAAAGUUUAUGGUUCAUUCUCUUUAAAUUUCUUUGUUUAGAUAUCUGUGUAUUUUUCGAUUUCUUAAUAAUAUACAUUUAUCAUUUUUUUCCUAGAUGCUUUUAUCAAGAAUAUUUUAUUUUUACAUUAUUAAUUAUUAAUUUGUUUUUAUUUUAAUUGUAUUUUUAAUAUUUUAUUUUGAUUUUAUCAUUGAUGGCAACUAAUGGAGUUGCGAUAGAUAAGAAGAUAACUUGUGUCAAGGAUGAUCAAGACGAAAGGAAAGAGAUCGGAUGUACCAAUGACCAACGAUAGCAAACAGAAGACCCCGAAAGUAGCAAAGAGCAGCGCCAACAAAUGGAAGAAAGCGGUGGUCGAUGAAAAUGUUGAGAUUUGUAAGAAGGCCACCUUUGAUCGAGCUACUAUAGACCCUCCAUUUUGUCCUUCUAGCACAUGUCCUAUUAUGUGUUUGUUUGGUACUUUACAACAAUUCCCUAGUGGCCCAUUAUUACUCAUGUAGCUUAUCUUAUAGGAGCCACCUUGGAGACUCUGAUUGAGAGAUUUAUCUAACCCCAUUUUGACCCUUGACAGGUCUAAUCUAGACUUAGGCAUUGACUUAAAUAUCCUAGGCACCUUCUAGCUUACACACACUCACUUUAGGUCAUUUAGGCACUUUUAGACUCACUCUUUAUAUGACUUGCAUGAUUGCAUGACCUGCAUGACUCAUGUGACUUGUAUGGUUUUCUUUAUUAUUUUUAUUUUAUUUUAUUAUAUUAUAAGUUUUCUAUCUCAUAUUUCUUGGCAUUUUUGGCAUGAGAAAAUAGACUGUUGGAAGGAGAAUUACGAGAAUUUUUAAGAAAGGAAAGUGGCAAAGAUUUUUUAUGGAAUAAUGUAAGAAUAGGAAGAGGAGAAGAUUCCAAGCUACAAGGAAAGAACAAAAAAAAAAAAAAAAGUAAUUGAAAAAAAAAGAAAAAAAAAAAAGGGGUUCUCAAAAGAGGAUUUUUUUAGCGUGCAUAUUAGAUCUAAAGAAAAUGGAGAAUUUUGGGAAGUGCUUUAGCAAAAAAAAAAAAAAAAAAAAGAAAAAAAAAGAAAAAAAAAAAGAAAAAAAAAGAAACUGGUGUUCAUCGUUUUUUUGGUGGGUUUUGGGGAAGCAGAACCUAUCUCGCUUGAAGCUGAGUAAUACUUCUCAAAGGUAGGUUCUUCUAGGUACGGUCACAUGAAAUUCGCAUCUUCUCAUCUCUAUAUGAUUUUUACAUUUUAUUUUGCAAGUCCUGACGUUAUCUUGUUGAUUGUUGUGGACUUUUAGGGUUGAUCGUUUCUCAUGUUGAAUGUGUUUAAACAUGAGCAUGCUCUGUUUUGGCUUUUAUUUUGGUCUUUUUUUAAUCUCUACUGUUAAUGGUUGAUGCGUGGAAUUGUCACAGAUAUUGCUAUCUAAGAAUCGUACCCUUUUUCUCUAAUAUCCCUACUUGUUUUUCAAGCCCAUUGACAAAACAAUGAAAUGUGGCUUGGCUUGGUUAUUCACUCUUUUCCUGUUUUUACUCUAUUUUCUGGAGUUCCUAUUUUCUUGUGUGUGUGUGUGUUUAUUUAUUUAUUUUUUUGGGUACCCUUUCUUCAUUAGGCAACAAUUUUUGGAAUUCUUGGAAUGGGAGAAUUGAGACUAUCUUGGGGAGUAAAAGAAAAAUUAGAAUGUCUGGAUACAGUGUUGAAUCCCAAUUCUCUGAUCUUCUGAAUUUAUAUUGUGACUUUGGCAUGUUAAUGGCCUUUAUUGAUUAAGUGCUGAUGAUCCUUUAAACCUGUGGCUCGGAGAAGGUCACCAAUUGCAUCAUUCGGGUUCUUCUGUUUCUAUUAGAGUCAUUAGUAAAAAGGAAGAUGAGGAGCAGAGGUUUUUUUUUUUUUAAAUGCCGUGACGUGAUCAUCAUUCCAUUGUCACAUUGCCCAUUUUGUUUGAGAAUUAGAUUCAAUCUGGACCAGAGAUAUACAUACUAACAGAAUGAUGCUACUGUGGCAAAGUUAUUGAUUUCAUUGAUGGCAUUCUAUUGGAUAGGCCAAACUCCUAUGAUCCAAUUUUGGUGCAUUGUUUGUGCGGGCAAGAAUUAAAAAUCAAUUUAAAAAGGUCCUUAUAAAACAAGAAACUGAAUUUGAAACCAAAGCGGUCGUGAGUGGCAUUUUCAAGACGUUGUUCCUAAUUCCAAAAAACAUUCCAGAUCAGUAGGAGACUUCAAGAUGGAAAUUAAAGAACUUCCCAUGACUACUAAAUUCGAUACUUUGUUUUGAACAUAAUGGAGUCUCGUGAGUCCUGGUAUCAUGGCUCUAUGAUGUAUUUCUCGUCAACAAAUCCUCAGGUUAUAUUGAACGAAGUUCAAAGGAAUCUCGAGUUCUUGAAGCCUGGUAGGACAACAUUGAUUCAGAAAACUUCGCAAAUUAUCACAAGAAUAAGAGAGAUGAAAUUUAGUUUCAUGCUCUGUCUGACUAGUUCUAUCGUGCGCCUGAGCACUACAAACCUGUGAGCGAAUAAUUCAUUAAAUAGCCUCAAUAUAAUCCAGGACUUUAUGAAGGUUAUUUUCCAAUAACAGUCUUCUAAAUCAUCAUGGCACAAAGUAUGACCCCUUUUCCAAUGAACAGAAUGCUAACAGUCUCUGUUACUACUUUUAAACUGGUUUUUUAUGUGAAAUGACAAGCUUAGAUUCAAGACUUAUUAUUGGUUUGAUUUGGUCAUGAAAGACGAAGUGUUGCGCUCAGUAGCUUGGUUGAUUGGCACCAAUGAUGGCAAGUUUUGGAGCAUUCAUAUCAGCUUUGAAGAGCCCAUGAAACGGUAUGUUGUGGAUGGAGACUUGGAGUUAGUUUUUCAUGCAUGAAACAAUGAUGGCAAUAUAAUGCACCAGUGGCUCGGGUCCCAGAACUUGUUCCUAUGCUGUGCUUAAUGGGUACAUAAUUUCACUUACAGGCUAACGCAUGUAAAAACAAGAAGGCUACUUGGUUUGAAGACCAAAAUGUGGUUCACGGGUUAACUAGGAGAAAUGUGAAGCAUGUCGAGAGACAACUCGUUUAUGUUUAUGCUAUUAUUUUCAUGGGUUUCUCACUUAUACUUCAGAGUUCAGCUCAAAGAUCUGAAGAGGUCUGAUGAAGACAAACUUCCCAUGAAUUACCAAAAAAAUAUAAACGGUGGUUAAAGAGGUAGUCCGGAUCAGUAAUGGACCAGAAAGUGGGAUACUCCUGAUGAAGUUUACCUUGGAGGUGUCAAAUUGAGUUCUACAACAUUUCAUUCUGUCACAAUCAACAAGGGACGGUCUGGAAUUCAUGAAAAUGCUCUCAAUAGAUCAGUCUCAAUAAAUCUCAGUGGUGGGGAUGGUGUAUCAACUACCAAAGCUACAGAGAAAGCAUUGGUUAUCGAAUUUGAGUAGCAUAACGCAUCAGGCAAUUCCAGUAAUGGUCCUGAUAACUUAGUCUCUAUGAAUCCACCUUCUUCAAAAGAUUAGAUUCCUAAUGGAACUAUACCAAAUUUCUCUGAAUUAGGAACUCAGUUAGAAGUUCAUGACACUUGUCAGGGUGAAGUGGAGUUUGGUGUGUCCAAUAGAGAGAACUGUAAGGCCGAGUUGACUGAUAGUGAAACAACAUUAGCUGGACUUCUAUUUGGGAGAUAACCUUGCAGAAAGAGAACUCGAGAAGACAAUAUGGAACCACUCCCUCUCAUGAAAAGUGAAAGUAGAUCAUUCAUAAUAUCAGUAUCCAAUCAAAAUCAAAGAACUACAUUUGUCUAUUUUUUUUUUAGGUUUGGGAAUGGAAGAAAUCGGAAAAUUUUAUCCUGAAGACUUAUUGGAGAAGUUAGAGAAUGAGUCGAAUACUGUCAAGUCUUUCACAAAUCAUAAUUAUGAAAAUGAUAUAAAAAAAAUGCAAGUUUAGUGCCCGGUUUGCUGAGAAUCUGAUCAAAGAGAUUGCAGCUUUGAAGUUGGAGAUGUUUGUCUACGACAAUAGCUCCUCUCAUUACAGUUGAGAGGUAGAGGAUGUUGCAUGACAUUUUUCUCAAAGCGAAUAGCAGGGAACUACAGACAGAAGUAUUAAAUAGGAUGUUUAAGGUUUUCUUAGGUCAUCUUGAAAACUACAAAUGGUGUUAACAGCUAAGGGCUAUGCCUCUCCCUAUUUUAAAUAUGGAAGGUUUUCCUUCAUCUUUGCAAGGGAUCAUCUUAAAAAUUCUUGAAUAUGCUGCGACUGUUGUGAACUGCAUUUCUGAGAAAGAAUUGUUUGCACUUUGCUUUUUGUUGAAGCAGCUAAUCACGUUUGAAUUAAAGCACACCAUUCUUUCAUUUUUUUUGUAAAACUCCUAUCCUUUGAUCAAUAGUACAAUAAAGUGCUGUAAAAAGUUGGUGUGCUGGAAAUUCUGUUGGAUGAUCUGAAGCAGCGCAAGUUUCUUUUGGGUGCAAAUCAACACAAUGGUAAUCCUGAUUAACUGGAGAGAAAAUCUAUCUCCAGCAACUUCAAGAAACACUCUGGCAGUAAGGAUGAUAUCAUAUCUUCAUCAAAGCUAAUUAAAUCCGGUUCUGGGAAGUUUCCUCUUUUUGAAAUUAAAAGUACAAUUGUUGUUGCAUGAGAAAAAGACUUCCAAAUUUAAAAUUUUCGGAAUCAAGGAGAGCAUAAAAUCUCUGAGCAAAUCUAAAUAGCAAAGGAGAAACAAGAGGGUGGUGGAGUUUGGUAUCUUUUAGGUAGCUAAUCUCAAAAGUAUAGGAAUGUAGGAUCCAUCAAAAAGUCUCUAGCUUACUACCCCUUUUUCCUUCACACACACGAAGUUACUGAAUCCUAUUGACUGAGGGUUAAUUUCUUAUUAUGGGCAAUAUCCAGAUUCCAUCCUUCAUUUCGAUCAUGGUUUCAUCUUCUUUGGAUGAUCAAGAGGAAAAUGAUUCUGCAUCUCAACCUUCUGUUCCUAAUUAAGAAUUCUCCGGUUGAAAGUCCCUAUUAAAAGUAUUUGGUGAUUCUCAUAGAUAAUUUGAUGAUUCGACAUGUCCAUUUGAUGAAUAUGGAUUCCCAUUCCAGCUUCAGGCCAAAUGCUUUACAGAUUCAGGGCAAAAACUGCACUCGAAACGACCAAUACCCUUUUCUCAUAUCUGAUUUCUCAUUCUGGAGCAUAUCAAGUAACCAUCAAACUUCCUCAUCAGCAACCUCGCUAAAGAGUAAUCUUCAAAUAAUUAAAAAUAGAGUGCAUAAUGACAUGCAUGCCAAAACAACCUUGUAAGGAGGAAGUCAUUGAAAGAAUUGUGGGGCUCUCUAGGUAUUAGAUAAUGGAUCACUACUAGUAUGAGUUUUUUUACAUGUUGCAGUUGGAAAUUAGAGAUGAGCAUGAUGAAGUCAAGCAUAGUGAAGCUCGCAUGUUUAGAAGAGAGUGAUUUGUCGUCCACAAUUGUUGAUCAAGUUCAUGUUUGGUUAGUUUUUAAGGAAGCAAAGAGUUUCUCCAUUUAGGCAUGCAACUUAUGGAUUUAUACAAUACCUUUCAUAUUAGUCUGCGAAACUUUUUAUGACAACCAGUUAGCUAGCUUGUUGGGCUUUGUGGAGCCUAGUUUUGUUUGAUCCGGUUUGACGACCCGACCCGAAUAAUAUUGCAUGGCUUUUUAAUGAGAGAUUUAUUAAGGCUUGUUGGGCCCGUUUAGCCCAUUGUGGAACCACCUUUUGUAAUUAGGGUUUUUUAGUGUGGUGGGGUUGCCGUGUUAUAUAUAUAUAGAGAAUAUUGUAGCCGCUAGGUUGUACUCUGUAUUCUUCUCUGAUAAUAGUGAUAUCCCUACAACUCUGUAGACGUAGGCAAAUUGCCGAACCACGUAAAUACUGUCUUGUGCGUGUGAUUGUUUUUCUUUGGUGUGUGUUUUCUCUAAUUUUUGUUUCUCACGGGUUGGGAAUUCGGUUUAAUUCCCUACAACUUGUAUCAGAGCCUAGGGUUAGGUUUGAGUGGGAGCAAUGGCAGAGGAAGUAGGAAAGGCGUCUGGAAUAGAAAAGUUUGAUGGCACAGACUUUGUGUAUCGGAGGAUGCAGAUUGAAGAUUAUCUCUAUGGGAGGAAAUUGCAUCUGCCACUUUUGGAGACAAAACCUGAGAGUAUGAAGGCUGAGGAAUGGGCACUUCUUGAUAGAUAGGUUCUAGGAGUUAUUAGGUUAACUAUGUCUAGGUCUAUUGCACAUAAUGUUGUAAAGGAGAAGACCACAACAGAUUUGAUGAAGGCUUUGUCCGGUAUGUAUGAAAAGCCGUCCGCAAACAAUAAGGUGUAUCUGAUGAAGAAAUUGUUCAAUUUGAAGAUGGCAGAGAAUGCAUCAGUAACACAACAUCUGAAUGAAUUUAAUACAAUCACAAACCAAUUGUCGUCUGUAGAAAUUUAUUUUGAUGAUGAGAUUCGUGCUCUGAUCGUCUUGGCUUCUUUGCCAAACAGUUAGGAGGCAAUGAGGAUGGCAGUAAGCAAUUCUACGGGAAAGGAAAAGCUCAAGUACAAUGAUAUACGAGAUUUAAUUAUGGCUGAGGAGAUUCGCCGAAGAGAUGCAGGUGAAACCUCAGGAUCUGGUUCUGCCUUAAACCUUGAGACAAGAGGCAAAGGUAAUGACAGAAAUUCAAAUUGGGGUAGAUCAAAUUCCAGAAAUUCUAAUCGGAACAGAAACAAAUCUAGAUUAGGCCAACAAGUAUAAUGCUGGAAUUGUGGGAAAACAGGUCACUUUAAAAGGCAAUGCAAAAGCCCUAAGAAGAAGAAUGAAGAUGAUUCUGCUAAUACUGUAAUAGAAGAGGUACAAGAUGCAUUACUUCUUGCAGUAGACAGUCCACUUGAUGAUUGGGUUUUGGAUUCAGGAGCUUCGUUUCAUACCAUUCCACACCGAGAAAUCAUACAGAAUUAUGUUUUAGGUGAUUUUGGUAAGGUGUAUUUGGCUGAUAGUUCAGCCUUGGAUGUUGUGGGUUUGGGAGACGUCUGGAUAUCGUUGCCCAAUGGGUCUGUUUAGUUACUGGAGAAGGUUCGACAUAUUCCUGACCUGAGGAGGAAUCUGAUUUCUGUUGGACAACUUGAUGAUGAAGGAGAUGCAAUACUAUUUGUUGGUGGUACUUGGAAGGUUACAAAGGGAGCUAGGGUAUUGGCUCGUGGAAAGAAGACUAGUACUUUGUAUAUGACCUCAUGUCCAAGAGACACAAUUGCAGUUGUUGAUGCAAGUACUGAUACAAGCCUAUGGCACCGUAGACUUGGUCACAUGAGUGAGAAAGGGAUGAAGAAGUUGCUGUCAAAAGGAAAACUACCAGAAUUGAAGUCCAUUGAUUUUGACAUGUGUGAAAGUUGCAUCUUAGGAAAGCAAAAAAAGGUGAGCUUCUUGAAAACUGGCAAGACAUCGAAGGCUGAAAAAUUGGAACUAGUACACGCUGAUUUGUGGGGCCUUCUCCGGUUGCAUCCCUAGAAGGUUCAAGGUACUACAUCACUUUUAUUGAUGACUCAAGUAGAAAGGUAUGAGUUUAUUUUCUGAAAAAUAAAUUUGAUGUAUUUGAAAUUUUUAAGAAGUGGAAGGCCAUGGUUGAGACAGAAACAAGUUUGAAAGUAAAAUGUUUGAGGUCAGAUAAUGGAGGAGAGUACAUAGAUGGAGGGUUCAGUGAGUAUUGUGCUGCACAGGGAAUUAGGAUGGAGAAGACCAUUCCUGCGACACCACAACAAAAUGGUGUGGCUGAGCGCAUGAACAGAACUCUCAAUGAGCUUGCUAGAAAUAUGAGGUUGCAUGCUGGACUACUAAAAACUUUUUGGGCUGAUGCUGUUAGCACUGUAGCUUACUUGAUAAACUGAGGACCAUCAGUUCCCAUGGAGUUCAGACUUCCUGAGAAGGUUUGGAGCGGUAAAGAGGUGAAGUUUUCACAUUUAAAAGUUUUUGGUUGUGUUUCUUAUGUUCAUAUUGAUUCUGAUGCUCAUAGUAAACUUGAUGCAAAAUCAAAAAUAUGUUUUUUCAUUGGCUAUGGUGAUGAGAAAUUUGGCUGUAGGUUUUGGGAUGAACAAAACAGGAAAAUCAUCAGAAGUAGAAAUGUGAUAUUUAAUGAACAGGUUAUGUACAAGGACAGGUCAACUGUAGUGUCAGAUGUUACAAAGAUAGAUUAAAAGAAAUCUGAGUUUGUCAACUUAGAUGAAUUGACUGAAAGUAUUGUCCAAAAAGGGGGUGAAGAAGAUAAGGAGAAUGUAAAUUCAUAGGUAGAUUUGAGUACACCUGUAGCUGAAGUUCGCAGAUCUUUCAGGAACAUUAGACCUUCGCAUCAUUAUUCACCUGUUUUAAAUUAUCUCCUAUUGACUGAUGGUGGUGAGCUAGAGUGUUAUGAUGAAGCCUUGCAAGAUGAGAAUUCAAGCAAGUGGGAGUUAGCCAUGAAGGAUGAGAUGGAUUCCCUGUUGGGGAAUCAGACAUGGGAACUGACUGAAUUGCCAGUAGGAAAGAAGGCUUUGCACAGUAAGUGGGUAUACAGAAUAAAGAAUGAGCAUGAUGCUAGCAAAUGUUACAAGGCCAGAUUAGUUGUUAAAGGGUUCCAACAGAAGGAGGGCAUUGACUACACAAAGAUAUUUUCUCCAGUUGUGAAGAUGUCAACAAUUAGACUUGUACUUGGAAUGGUGGCUGCAGAAAACUUACAACUUGAGCAGUUAAAUGUGAAGACAACAUUCUUUCAUGGUGACUUGGAGGAAGACCUUUACAUGAUUCAGCCAGAAGGGUUCAUUGUUCAAGGACAAGAGAAUCUAGUUUGCAAACUGAGAAAGAGCUUGUAUGGCCUUAAACAAGCUCCUAGACAGUGAUAUAAGAAGUUUGACAAUUUUAUGCAUAGAAUUGGGUUCAAGAGAUGUGAAGCUGAUCACUGUUGCUAUGUUAAGUCAUUUGACAAUUCUUACAUCAUAUUACUGUUGUAUGUGGAUGAUAUGCUUAUUGCAGGUCUGACAUUGAGAAGAUUAAUAAUCUGAAGAAGCAAUUGUCCAAACAGUUUGCAAUGAAGGAUUCGGGAGUUGCAAAGCAAAUCCUUAGAAUGAGAAUCAUUAGAGACAAGGCUAAUGGUACAUUGAAGCUUUCACAAUCAGAGUAUGUGAAGAAAGUUCUCAGCAGGUUCAACAUGAAUGAAGCUAAACCAAUGAGCACACCCUUGGGUAGUCAUUUCAAACUAAGCAAAGAACAGCCAUCGAAGACAGAAGAAGAAAAAGACCAUAUGAGUAAGGUGCCCUAUGCCUCAACUAUUGGCAGCUUGAUGUAUGCUAUGGUGUGUACAAGGCCAGACAUUGCACAUGCAGUGGGAGUUGUGAGCAAAUUCAUGAGUAGGUCUGGAAAGCAGCAUUGGGAGGCAGUCAAGUGGAUUUUAAGAUAUCUAAAGGGUUCAUUAGAUACAUGUCUUUGCUUCACAUGUGUAAGUUUGAAACUGCAGGGUUAUGUAGAUGCUGAUUUUGCUGGUGAUAUUGAUAGUAGAAAGAGUACUACUGGGUUUGUUUUUACUCUAUGUGGUACAGCUAUAUCAUGGACUUCAAAUCUACAGAAGAUUGUUACUUUGUCUACUAUAGAAGCUGAGUAUGUUGCAGCAACUGAAGUUGAAAAGGAGAUGAUUUGGGUACAUGGUUUCUUAGAUGAAUUGGGUAAGAAGCAGGGGAUGGGCAUUCUACACAGUGACAGUUAGAGUGCAAUUUUUCUUGCCAAAAAUUCGACUUUUCAUUCAAAGUCGAAACAUAUACAAACAAAAUACCACUUUAUCUGUUAUCUUGUUGAGGAUAAACUGGUGAUACUUGAGAAAACUUGUGGAUCUAAGAACCCUAUAGACAUGUUGACUAAGGGUGUCGCUAUUGAGAAGUUGAAGCUGUGUGUAGCUUCAAUUGGUCUUCUAGCUUGAGGACAGGAGGAUGAGUUGUAGGAAUGAGGGAUUGUUUCUUGGAGGAUAACGAUUUGAUGUUGGUGAUUGGACUAGUCUCCAAGUGGGAGAUUUGUUGGGCUUUGUGGAGCCUAGUUUUGUUUGAUCCGGUUUGACGACCCGACCCGAAUAAUAUUGCAUGGCUUUUUAAUGGGAGAUUUAUUAAGGCCUAUUGGGCCCGUUUAACCCAUUGUGGAACCACCUUUUGUAAUUAGGGUUUUUUAGUGUGGUGGGGUUGUCGUGUUAUAUAUAUAGAGAGAAUAUUGUAGCCGCUAGGUUGUACUCUAUAUUCUUCCCUGAUAAUAGUGAUAUCCCUGCAACUCCGUGGACGUAGGCAAAUUGCCAAACCACAUAAAUACUGUCUUAUGCGUGUGAUUGUUUUUCUUUGGCGUGUGUUUUCUCUAAUUUUUGUUUCUUACGGGUUGGGAAUUCGGUUUAAUUCCCUACAUAACUAUGAUUGUGAAUCUUUGAAACAGAAAAUUCUUCCUUUGAUGUUUUCCACACAUCCACUUUGACACUCAAAGAGGGUUCUGAAGUGAAAAUCUAUGACGAAAUGAUAAGAUUGGGAUUAUAGGCACUGAUAGAAAAUUUUCGAAAGUAUGUUCAACUUGCCCCACACUAAUAGCUCGGUAUUGCCCAGAAGCUCUAUAGAUAUGACAAGCUUCAAGAAUAAAACGUCUUUGGGUACUGGAUAUAGUAGAAGACAAAGAUCUGGAAGUGUUUAUUUUAGCACCAAUGAGGAAAGGCCACCUUCGAUGCACAGUCCUGAACAGCCCUACGACUACCCCUCUUCUGGUCAAGUUCAAGAUUACCUUGCUACUAGUUCUCUCUUUCAUAGGCAUGGCCACCUUUUUUCCUU
rnacentral:lncRNA from 1 species